UACAGAGGUCCCAAGCGUUGUUCGGAUUCAUUGGGCGUAAAGGGUGCGUAGGCGGCGCGGUAAGUCGGGUGUGAAAUCUCGGAGCUUAACUCCGAAACUGCAUUCGAUACUGCCGUGCUUGAGGACUGGAGAGGAGACUGGAAUUUACAGUGUAGCGGUGAAAUGCGUAGAUAUCGUAAGGAAGACCAGUGGCGAAGGCGGGUCUCUGGACAGUUCCUGACGCUGAGGCACGAAGGCCAGGGGAGCAAACGGG
rnacentral:rRNA from 1 species